rnacentral:tRNA from 1 species
UGUUCUGUAGCUUAGUUGGUUAAAGCGCCGGACUAGCGAUAAUGGGCUCAGUCGUGAGUUCGAAUCCCACCAAAACGA